rnacentral:piRNA from 1 species
CAGUAUGUAGAACCGAAAAACAAAC